rnacentral:rRNA from 1 species
GGAGCCCGCGGCCGAUUAGCUAGUUGGUGGGGUAAGAGCCCACCAAGGCAUAGAUCGGUAGCCGGCCUGAGAGGGCACACGGCCACACUGGCACUGAAACACGGGCCAGACUCCUACGGGAGGCAGCAGUGGGGAAUCUUGCACAAUGGGGGCAACCCUGAUGCAGCGACGCCGCGUGAGCGAUGAAGCCCUUCGGGGUGUAAAGCUCUUUCGGCAGGGACGAUAAUGACGGUACCUGCAGAAGCAGCUGCGGCUAACUACGUGCCAGCAGCCGCGGUAAUACGUAGGCAGCGAGCGUUGUUCGGAGUUACUGGGCGUAAAGGGUGUGUAGGCGGUUGUUUAAGUUUGGUGUGAAAUCUCCCGGCUCAACUGGGAGGGUGCGCCGAAUACUGAAUGACUCGAGUGCGUGAGAGGAGAGUGGAAUUCCUGGUGUAGCGGUGAAAUGCGUAGAUAUCAGGAGGAACACCGGUGGUGUAGACGGCUCUCUGGACCGUAACUGACGCUGAGACACGAAAGCGUGGGUAGCAAACAGGAUUAGAUACCCUGGUAGUCCACGCCCUAAACGAUGCAUAUUUGGUGUGGGCAGUUCAUUCUGUCCGUGCCGGAGCUAACGCGUUAAAUAUGCCGCCUGGGGAGUACAGUCGCAAGGCUGAAACUCAAAGGAAUUGACGGGGGCCCGCACAAGCGGUGGAGCAUGUGGUUCAAUUCGACACGCGAAGAACCUUACCUGGGCUCGAACGGCUGGUCAACGGCGGUGGAAACAUCGCUACCCCGCAAGGGGUUCCAGUCGAGGUGCUGCAUGGCUGUCGUCAGCUCGUGUCGUGAGAUGUUGGGUUAAGUCCCGCAACGAGCGCAACCCUUGUCCUGUGUUGCCAUCAUUCAGUUGGGAACUCGCAGGAGACCGCCAGGGAUAACCUGGAGGAAGGUGGGGAUGACGUCAAGUCCUCAUGGCCUUUAUGUCCAGGGCUACACACGUGCUACAAUGGGCGGUACAAAGCGCAGCUAACCCGCGAGGGGGAGCCAAUCGCAAAAAACCGUUCUCAGUUCGGAUUGCAGGCUGCAACCCGCCUGCAUGAAGCUGGAAUCGCUAGUAAUGGCAGAUCAGCACGCUGCCGUGAAUACGUUCCCGGGCCUUGUACACACCGCCCGUCACAUCACGAGAGUGGAUUGUACUAGAAGUCUGCAGGCUGACCCGCAAGGGAGGCAGC